rnacentral:ncRNA from 2 species
GGGUCAGGAUCGGGAGAAUCCGGUGCGCCGCUUGCGGCUUGCCGGUGCCGAAGGAGCAACCGCCCCGGUAAACUCUCAGGCGCAAGGGACCGUUCUGGCACA